CAGCAGCCGCGGGAAUACGGAGGGAGCUAGCGUUGUUCGGAAUUACUAGGCGUAAAGCGCGCGUAGGCGGUUACUCAAGUCAGAGGUGAAAGCCCGGGGCUCAACCCCGGAACUGCCUUUGAAACUAGGUGACUAGAAUCUUGGAGAGGUCAGUGGAAUUCCGAGUGUAGAGGUGAAAUUCGUAGAUAUUCGGAAGAACACCAGUGGCGAAGGCGACUGACUGGACAAGUAUUGACGCUGAGGUGCGAAAGCGUGGGGAGCAAACAGGAUUAGAUACCCCUGUAGUCCCUGUCUCUUAUAC
rnacentral:rRNA from 1 species